AUUUGCACCUCACAAUUAAAAAAUCUAUAAUCUGUUGAAAGAAACUGCACUAGUAAAUGAUAUGGUUAGAAGUUACAGGAUCUAAAGGUUCGAGAUGAUUGAAUCAUCUAACGUUUCUAAUGUCAGAGUCAAGAGUAAAUGGGUCAAAAAGAGAUUUCUGUAAAAGCACAACGCAAGGUGUAAUUACCCAAAAAUAAUACUGAGUCAACACAAGUGAGUCAAAAGCCGAGUGAACGAACAACGCAAAGUGUCAGAAACGCACCUUGGAUGUGGAGAGCCUUUGUUUUGAAUCUUUGAUGGGUUGUGACCGUUCAUAGAGCCGCACUUCCUCUUCCCCUACGACGAAGGCCGCGGCGGCCGACCACUCCCUGCCGACGCCGACGACGACAACGAAUUCGCCGCUGAUUUUUUGAGGAAGCGGAAGUAAACAAUAAACCCUAGAAAUCGAAUCCGUUUUUUUUUAAUGGUCCGAUUCUGAUCCAACAGCUCUGAUUCUCUGAUUUUCUCUUGUUAAGAAUCUCUUGUUAAGAAAUCAUAGGGUCCUCUUCUGAAGCGAGCGUGGCCGAUUUUGGUCCGAUUGAUCAUAGUGAAAAAACAUGGCCCUAGUCAUAAUGGGUCCCGCAUAAUAAUGGGUCCCAAAGUCAACAAGGAUCAUGACUAUAUUUAGCCUGGUAAUGCUUAAAAGCAAAUUUUUUUUUUAGUUUGCUACUAAAAAAUUUAAAAAAUUUAAAAAAUUUAGAUUUUUUUGCUUUCAUAUAUUUACUUUAGCUAAAAAAAAUUAAAAAAAUCAACUCUAGUGGUUUUUUUGCUUAUAAGCUUAACGUCUUGUCAGGGCAAAUGUUUUUUUUGAAUUUUUUUAAUAGUCUUAACUUUUGAUUUUUUUUUAUUUUAAAUAAUUUUUUUAAUUAUUUUAUUAAAAUUUUAUAUUUUAUCGAUUCUUCUGUGGAUGGAAAUCCAAAAAUAUAAAUAAUUUUAUAUAAUUUAUAAAAAAACUCACUAAAGAUAAAAAAUUAUUUUUUAGAUUUUUUUGAAUGAAAUUAUUAUUUUUGGCCUUUUGUAUUUUUUUUCAAAUUAGAUGAAUAUUUUUAUAUUUUUAGACUAUAAUCAAGAUCAAAUGGAAAAAAGAGUUAACUAAAAUACCAAAAAACAGAGUCGGCAGAGAUUUGUAAAAGAAAAAAAAUAUUAAACUUGAAUCGUUAGAUUCGUUGACUUUUCUUUUUUUUUUUCUCUACCAAAUCAUAAAUCCAAAUAUAGCCUUGAACAAUUUAAGAUUGUAUUUCAAUAAAAAAAUUGGUAAGAUUUGUUAAGGAAAAUGAAAAAUUAAAAAAAAGAAAAUGCUACACAUCAUCCAAAGAACGGUGAUUUUUUUUUAAUAGGAAAGAAAUAUAUUGAUAAUUAUGAAAAUUGUAUAUAAAUUUAUAAAUAUUCGUAUUAACUACCGCUCAAUAAAUCUAACAAGCGAUGAUUGAGAGUGAAGUCAUGUGUCCAAUUGUUUUUGGUUUCAAUUUAUAUUUAUAUUUAAUGGGGUAUGAGGCCCAUAACCCAUGCACGCGAGAUCUAUUAUGUAUAUUAUUAAUUGAAUGACGAUAUGGAAUAAAAUUGAAUGAUAAGAAUAAGUUUGUAGAUAGAUUGUCAUAUUUUAAGACAAUUUUGAUUUGUAAUCAUACUGCUAUAAAUAUUAAAUCAAUUUAACUUUUUUUUUAUAGACAAUCUAUGUUCAUAGACUUAAAAAAAUGAAUCGAUUGAGAUCCUGUUUUGGGUAUUUAUUUAUUUUAUCUUUUUAUGUUAGUAAAUUUUUUUCAUCGUUUUUUUAAAUUUUAAAUUUUUUUAGUUUAUUUUGACAAGAAUAGUCCGAAGAUAGAUUUUUUUUUUAUCUAAUUUGAUUUUUUUUUAUUAAAAACGAUUAUAUUUUUUGACUCCUUUUGUCAAUAAAAAUUAAAAAAAUAUAAAUUUUUAAUCAAACAAAAAAAUAAAUUCACUAUAAAUAAAAACUUGAAAAUAAAAAAAUAAAAAUAUCCAAACUUGAAUCGAUGAAUCUUUUAGUCAUCCAAACCGGACCGACAUAGCACAAAAAUCAAAUCUAUUUGGAUAAACUGCAGAAUUCACGUGUAUACUGAAAAUCAAAGGCUGACAGCCUCGUCAAUCAGCGCAUUAAAUUGGAAAAUUAUUCAGUGCUUUGAGCGCAAGUCCUAGUAGUGUUCUAACAUUAGAAUGAUUGAUCUAAAAUACUGAUAUUCAUUAACUUUUGUGUAUAAAUUGUAGUCGACAUGUGCAAAUGUAUCACUCAGUAAAUGAUGUAGAGCAAUACUCUAAGAGUAUCGAAUAAUCUCUCAUUAAAUUUGGAUCAGCUGGGCUUGAAUCUGAACCGAAGUCCAGUUACAAGCAUUCACGAGGUGAGCAUCUUUUGUGAAGAUAGACCCAUCAUCCAUCCCGACCCAAUAGUGGCCGCAAAAAGUUCUGGCCCGGCCCACCUUCAUAGCACGUCCAAUUCAGAUCAUUU
rnacentral:lncRNA from 1 species